rnacentral:rRNA from 1 species
AACGAACGCUGGCGGCAUGCCUAACACAUGCAAGUCGAACGAGACCUUCGGGUCUAGUGUCGCACGGGUGCGUAACGCGUGGGAACCUGCCCUUAGGUUCGGGAUAACUCCCCGAAAGGGGUGCUAAUAUCGGAUAAUGUCUUCGGACCAAAGAUUUAUCGCCUUUGGAUGGGCCCGCGUUGGAUUAGCUAGUUGGUAGGGUAAAAGCCUACCAAGGCGACGAUCCCUAGCUGGUCUGAGAGGAUGAUCAGCCACACUGGGACUGAGACACGGCCCAGACUCCUACGGGAGGCAGCAGUGGGGAAUAUUGGACAAUGGGCGCAAGCCUGAUCCAGCAAUGCCGCGUGAGUGAUGAAGGCCUUAGGGUUGUAAAGCUCUUUUAGCCGGGAUGAUAAUGACGGUACCGGGAGAAUAAGCUCCGGCUAACUCCGUG